rnacentral:lncRNA from 1 species
GCCUUGGUGGACGAGUUGCCUAACCAGUCAUAUUGGAUUCGUUUCGAACAAAUGAUGCUGAUUUGUUUUUGAAAAAAAAGAAACGGUUAUAAUUUUACUUAGCAAGAUUUAGUAUUUAUAAAAGAAAAAAAUUGUAAUGUUGGAUCAGCAAGUAAUUUUCAUUGUAGAAGAAUAUUAUAAAACAUUGUUCGAAAUACUCACGUUUAAAAUAAAAGGAC